GUCCACGCCCUAAACGAUGCGAACUGGACGUUGGGAGCAAUUAGGCUCUCAGUGUCGAAGCUAACGCGUUAAGUUCGCCGCCUGGGGAGUACGGUCGCAAGACUGAAACUCAAAGGAAUUGACGGGGGCCCGCACAAGCGGUGGAGUAUGUGGUUUAAUUCGAUGCAACGCGAAGAACCUUACCUGGCCUUGACAUCCACGGAAGUCUGCAGAGAUGCGGAUGUGCCUUCGGGAACCGUGAGACAGGUGCUGCAUGGCUGUCGU
rnacentral:rRNA from 1 species